UCAAAAACAUGUCUGUUUGAAGCUUUAAAAAGUCUGGCCUGCCCACUGAGAAAAUUUAAGGGCCGCAGUAUCCUGACUGUGCAAAGGUAGCAUAAUCAUUAGUCUUUUAAUUGGAGGCUUGUAUGAAUGGUUGGACAAAAGAAAAACUGUUUCUAUUUUAAAAAUUGAAUUUAACUUUUAAGUGAAAAGGCUUAAAUGAUCUAAAGGGACGAUAAGACCCUAUAAAGCUUUAUAUAUUAAUAAUUAUUAAUUUGAAUUAAAAAAUAAUAAAUAAAUAUUGUUAACUAUAUUAUGUUGGGGCGACAAAAGUAUAAUUUUUAGUAACUGCUUUAUUUCGUUACAUUGAUAAAUGAUUUAUAAAAGUAAAUGAUCCUUUAUAAAGAUUAUAAGAUUAAGUUACUUUAGGGAUAACAGCGUAAUUUUUCUUGAGAGCCCAUAUCGAAAGAAAAGAUUGCGACCUCGAUGUUGAAUUAAAAUUUCUUUAUUAUGCAGCAGUAAUAUAAGAAGGUCUGUUCGACCUUUAAAUUUUUACGUGAUCUGAGU
rnacentral:rRNA from 1 species